GUGGGGAAUUUUGGACAAUGGGCGCAAGCCUGAUCCAGCAAUGCCGCGUGCAGGAAGAAGGCCUUCGGGUUGUAAACUGCUUUUGUACGGAACGAAACGGUCCUGGCUAAUAUCCGGGGCUAAUGACGGUACCGUAAGAAUAAGCACCGGCUAACUACGUGCCAGCAGCCGCGGUAAUACGUAGGGUGCGAGCGUUAAUCGGAAUUACUGGGCGUAAAGCGUGCGCAGGCGGUGCUGUAAGACAGGCGUGAAAUCCCCGGGCUCAACCUGGGAAUUGCGCUUGUGACUGCAGUGCUGGAGUGCGGCAGAGGGGGAUGGAAUUCCGCGUGUAGCAGUGAAAUGCGUAGAUAUGCGGAGGAACACCGAUGGCGAAGGCAGUCCCCUGGGCCUGUACUGACGCUCAUGCACGAAAGCGUGGGGAGCAAACAGGAUUAGAAACCCGGGUAGUCC
rnacentral:rRNA from 1 species